rnacentral:rRNA from 1 species
CAGCAGCCACGGGAAUACGUAGGGUGCGAGCGUUAAUCGGAAUUACUGGGCGUAAAGCGUGCGCAGGCGGUUAUGUAAGACAGGUGUGAAAUCCCCGGGCUUAACCUGGGAACUGCGCUUGUGACUGCACAGCUAGAGUAUGGCAGAGGGGGGUGGAAUUCCACGUGUAGCAGUGAAAUGCGUAGAGAUGUGGAGGAACACCGAUGGCGAAGGCAGCCCCUGGGCCAAUACUGACGCUCAUGCACGAAAGCGUGGGGAGCAAACAGGAUUAGAUACCCGCGUAGUCCCUGUCUCUUAUACA